AUUGAACGCUGGCGGCAGGCCUAACACAUGCAAGUCGAGCGAGCGGCGGACGGGUGAGUAAUGUCUGGGAAACUGCCCGAUGGAGGGGGAUAACUACUGGAAACGGUAGCUAAUACCGCAUACCAUCAGAUGUGCCCAGCUGGGAUUAGCUAGUAGGUGGGGUAACGGCUCACCUAGGCGACGAUCCCUAGCUGGUCUGAGAGGAUGACCAGCAACACGGGAACUGGGACACGGUCCAGACGCUUACGGGAGGCAGCGUUGGGGAAUAUUGCACAAGGGGCGCAAGCCUGAUGCAGCCAUGCCGCGUGGGGGAAGAAGGCCGUCGGGUUUGAAAGCACUUUCAGCGGGGAGGCGUGACCCGCAGAAGAAGCACCGGCUAACUCCGUGCCAGCAGCCGCGGUAAUUC
rnacentral:rRNA from 1 species